rnacentral:misc_RNA from 1 species
UACUCUCACACUCUCCGAUUUUAUUUCAGAUCGGGAGCGGUGGACUUGGAUGUUGCUGCUUUGUUGUCAGGCUCAUCUCAAAUGCCUUAGUGCAACUCUACUUGGACAUAGUACAGCGUGAUAAGUAUCUUCGCUGGCAACUCGCAAGAGAAUGUCUACUUCGGAGCUCUGUGCUUCAAAAACUGUCCUUUUGACUAUCUCUGACA